rnacentral:tRNA from 1 species
CGGGGUGUAGCGUAGCCCGGUAUCGCGCCACAUUUGGGAUGUGGAGGUCGUAGGUUUCCUGCCACCCCGA